GAAAGGUGUCACAGUAGGAAUAAAGAGGCAGGUGUAGAAUAAUGAGUUCUUAUAUUUAUAUGUUGCCUUGGGAUUUAUUUUGAAUGUAAGUUGGACUUUCUCAUGCCAGAAGCAGGGCUUAGUCACCUGGACACAAUUUCCAAUUCUCUACCUCCUCCCAGUUCCCCAAGGUGGUUAAUCCAAAUGUCUGCCUUAUACAACCAUCUCCUUGUGACCAGCUCCCUAUGGGACAUACAGCUACAACCUACUUGACUUACGUAUUGACUCCUGUGUCCCUCAUAGGCUGCGCAGAUAUACUGCAGCAACCACCUCUCAGUCACAGUGUGGCUCCACAGAACUCCUGCCUGCUAGCUCUAAACCCCCAGUUAGAACUCCCUGUGGGAAGCCUGCUUAGAUUAUGCCCUGGACUCUAAUUAAGGCUUUGGCUCAUGGGUUCUUCUCUCUCUCUCUCUCUCUCUUGCCCCCUACCCACUGGAUGAGCACUUGCGUCCUGGUCAGUUCCCUCCUUUCCAUUCGCCCUUCCAGGCUUGCUGUGCUAUCUUCUCUCUGGGACCUGUUCUGGGCACGUACAGUGUGAGAAAUCAGACAUAGACCCUGACCUAGGCAGGAGGAGCGGAUUAUUGAUGAAGCAAAUGUAUACCUUCGGCAUAGGUUACAAGGUGUCUUAUGUGCAAACCAGAAAAGAGAUGGCAAUUCUGAUCCUGGACCCAGUUUCCAUGAAAGAGAAACAAAAUGGAGCAGAUCCUGUCCCCAGCAAAGAUGGUAACCAGAUACAAUGGGACAAACAUUGUCUGCCCCUCACUGCAGAAUUCAGAGUAUGGACAGGAUUAUGAUGUGCCAGUGUCCAACAGGCAUGUGUUGGGUAAGCACCAGAGGCCCACUGGGGUGAGGAGAAGGAGAACGGAGGUGGAAGCUCACUGGUCUUUGACAUUCUCCUUGCCAUUUUCUCCACUCCAAACUCCCAGGGCUGGUGGAUCACAAUGCAACGAGAGUCCUUGACCAAUGUUGCUUCUCCACGAGGGUCUGAAGAUGGAGGGAUGACUUAAGCUGCCUUACUGGGGUGAUAGGAAGUGGGACUGGUUGGGUGUGGUUUGGGUUCUUGAGGGGAUCCACCCUGGGGCUUGUCCCAGUCAUUUCUCUUUUUUUGAGACGAUGCUUCACUGUUGUUGCCCAGGCUGGAGUGCAAUGGCAUGA
rnacentral:lncRNA from 1 species